rnacentral:rRNA from 1 species
GUGAAAUUCCGUCGGAAUCUGGGAGGACCAUCUCCUAAGGCUAAAUACUCUCUAGUGACCGAUAGUGAACCAGUACCGUGAGGGAAAGGUGAAAAGCACCCCGGAAGGGGAGUGAAAUAGAACCUGAAACCGUGUGCUUACAAGUAGUCAGAGCCCGUUAAUGGGUGAUGGCGUGCCUUUUGUAGAAUGAACCGGCGAGUUACGAUUUGAUGCAAGGUUAAGCAGUAAAUGUGGAGCCGUAGCGAAAGCGAGUCUGAAUAGGGCGUUUAGUAUUUGGUCGUAGACCCGAAACCAGGUGAUCUACCCUUGGUCAGGUUGAAGUUCAGGUAACACUGAAUGGAGGACCGAACCGACUUACGUUGAAAAGUGAGCGGAUGAACUGAGGGUAGCGGAGAAAUUCCAAUCGAACCUGGAGAUAGCUGGUUCUCUCCGAAAUAGCUUUAGGGCUAGCCUCAAGUGAUGAUUAUUGGAGGUAGAGCACUGUUUGGACGAGGGGCCCCUCUCGGGUUACCGAAUUCAGACAAACUCCGAAUGCCAAUUAAUUUAACUUGGGAGUCAGAACAUGGGUGAUAAGGUCCGUGUUCGAAAGGGAAACAGCCCAGACCACCAGCUAAGGUCCCAAAAUAUAUGUUAAGUGGAAAAGGAUGUGGCGUUGCCCAGACAACUAGGAUGUUGGCUUAGAAGCAGCCAUCAUUUAAAGAGUGCGUAAUAGCUCACUAGUCGAGUGACACUGCGCCGAAAAUGUACCGGGGCUAAACAUAUUACCGAAGCUGUGGAUUGUCCUUUGGACAAUGGUAGGAGAGCGUUCUAAGGGCGUUGAAGCAUGAUCGUAAGGACAUGUGGAGCGCUUAGAAGUGAGAAUGCCGGUGUGAGUAGCGAAAGACGGGUGAGAAUCCCGUCCACCGAUUGACUAAGGUUUCCAGAGGAAGGCUCGUCCGCUCUGGGUUAGUCGGGUCCUAAGCUGAGGCCGACAGGCGUAGGCGAUGGAUAACAGGUUGAUAUUCCUGUACCACCUAUAAUCGUUUUAAUCGAUGGGGGGACGCAGUAGGAUAGGCGAAGCGUGCGAUUGGAUUGCACGUCUAAGCAGUAAGGCUGAGUAUUAGGCAAAUCCGGUACUCGUUAAGGCUGAGCUGUGAUGGGGAGAAGACAUUGUGUCUUCGAGUCGUUGAUUUCACACUGCCGAGAAAAGCCUCUAGAUAGAAAAUAGGUGCCCGUACCGCAAACCGACACAGGUAGUCAAGAUGAGAAUUCUAAGGUGAGCGAGCGAACUCUCGUUAAGGAACUCGGCAAAAUGACCCCGUAACUUCGGGAGAAGGGGUGCUCUUUAGGGUUAACGCCCAGAAGAGCCGCAGUGAAUAGGCCCAAGCGACUGUUUAUCAAAAACACAGGUCUCUGCUAAACCGUAAGGUGAUGUAUAGGGGCUGACGCCUGCCCGGUGCUGGAAGGUUAAGAGGAGUGGUUAGCUUCUGCGAAGCUACGAAUCGAAGCCCCAGUAAACGGCGGCCGUAACUAUAACGGUCCUAAGGUAGCGAAAUUCCUUGUCGGGUAAGUUCCGACCCGCACGAAAGGCGUAACGAUUUGGGCACUGUCUCAACGAGAGACUCGGUGAAAUCAUAGUACCUGUGAAGAUGCAGGUUACCCGCGACAGGACGGAAAGACCCCGUGGAGCUUUACUGUAGCCUGAUAUUGAAAUUCGGCACAGCUUGUACAGGAUAGGUAGGAGCCUUUGAAACGUGAGCGCUAGCUUACGUGGAGGCGCUGGUGGGAUACUACCCUAGCUGUGUUGGCUUUCUAACCCGCACCACUUAUCGUGGUGGGAGACAGUGUCAGGCGGGCAGUUUGACUGGGGCGGUCGCCUCCUAAAAGG